rnacentral:rRNA from 1 species
UGAGUAACACGUGAGUGACCUGCCUUUUAGACUGGAACAACUUACCGAAAGGUGAGCUAAUGCCGGAUGAGUUAUAUAAGUGCAUGUUUAUAUAGGAAAAGUUGGGGAGACCUGACGCUGAAAGAUGGACUCGUGUCCCAUUAGCUAGUUGGUAGGGUAAUGGCCUACCAAGGCGACGAUGGGUAGCCGGCCUGAGAGGGUGGCCGGCCACACUGGGACUGAGACACGGCCCAGACUCCUACGGAAGGCAGCAG